GACGAACGCUGGCGGCGUGCUUAACACAUGCAAGUCGAACGGAAAGGCCUCUUUCGGGGGGUACUCGAGUGGCGAACGGGUGAGUAACACGUGAGUAACCUGCCCUUGACUUUGGGAUAACUUCAGGAAACUGGGGCUAAUACCGGAUAGGAGCUCCUGCUGCAUGGUGGGGGUUGGAAAGGUUCGGCGGUUGGGGAUGGACUCGCGGCUUAUCAGCUUGUUGGUGGGGUAGUGGCUUACCAAGGCUUUGACGGGUAGCCGGCCUGAGAGGGUGACCGGCCACAGUGGGACUGAGAUACGGCCCAGACUCCUACGGGAGGCAGAAGUGGGGAAGAUUGAACAAUGGGUGGAAGCCUGAUGCAGCAACGCCGUGUGCGGGAGGACGGCCUUCGGGUUGUAAACCGCUUUCGCUCAUGACGAAGCUUUGUGUGACGGUAGUGGGUAAAGAAGCAACGGCUAACUCCGUG
rnacentral:rRNA from 1 species